rfam:Homo sapiens chromosome X, GRCh38 reference primary assembly.
GGUAAAAUGGCUGGGUAAGCAUUAGACUGUAAAUCUAAAGACAGAGGCCAAGGCCGCUUUUUAGCA